rnacentral:rRNA from 1 species
UACGUAGGUGGCAAGCGAUACUCGGAAUCACUAGGCGUAAAGCGCAGGUAGGCGGUUUAGUAAGUCUUUUGUGAAAGCUCCCGGCUCAACUGGGAGAGGUCAAAGGAAACUACUAGGCUAGAGUUUGGUAGGGGAUACUGGAAUUCCUGGUGUAGCGGUGGAAUGCGCAGAUAUCAGGAAGAACACCAACGGCGAAGGCAGCUCGCUGGGACGGAACUGACGCUAAGGCGCGAAAGCGUGGGGAGCGAACAGG